rnacentral:lncRNA from 1 species
CGUCGAAGGCGUCUCCUUCAAGGCAUGGGGUUAUCAAGCAAUAAGGACCUCCUCAAGCUCAAAAGCGCCAAGAUUGUACGAGCCAUUUCAAGAAAAGUUGAGACCAGCCAAGAUUCCAAACCACCAAAGGCUGAAUAUUCUCCUGCAAAAGAAUUAAAUCCAGAACAACAGCCAUCAGCUUCACAGCCAAUUGUGCUGGUCAGGUCGAGAUCAGACGGAGACAUACAAUAUUUUUCUGUGAAUACCAAGAAAAGGAAAGAGGAGCUAAUUGGUGAAAUCUCUAAACAGCGGCUCACUAGGACAUUUUCAGGUGUUUUGGCACCGAGCUUAGGAAUAUGCAAAUUAGCUGGUUCGGUUAGAAUGUCACACAGAAAGAACACAAGUGGAUCGUCAAUGCAAAAUGGCAGUGAUAUGUCAUCCACAUUGUCGAAUGGGAAUCCUGACGUGGGCUUUGCUUCAUUCUUCUUGAUAAAGAAUUUGGACACUGGAAAGGAGUUCAUUGUCAAAGAGUCUAACGAACAGGGAAUGUGGAAUAAGCUCAGUGAUCUUCAGACAGGAAAGCAGCUUACCAUGGAUGAAUUUGAGAAAUAUGUGGGAUAUUCUCCUGUUGUAAAGGAACUGAUGCGCCGGGUAAAUGGUUCAAGAAAUCAUGAUGAUGAGAGGAAAUUAAACGCAAAUUCAUAUUUGAGUAAAAGCUUCAGAAAUAGCAAGAGAAGGGGAGUUGCUCUUUUGAAGAACAUAAAAGGAGUAGCACAUAGCAUGAGCGGAAAAAUUAUUGAUAAAGAACGUGAGCAAACGGCGCCUGAGGAACAUCAGAAACCAAAUAAGGACUCCUCCAAAUGGAUUAAAGUCCGCCAGCAUGGAAAGUCCUACAAGGAACUCACAGCUAUGCACUUGUGCCAGGAAAUCCGUGCUCACGAGGGCUCAAUUUGGACCAUAAGGUUCAGCUCAGACGCACGCUAUCUAGCAACUGCAGGGGAAGAUACGUUAAUUCAUAUAUGGGAAGUGCAAGAAUGUGAAGUUAUGAAUGACGUACACUCUGUUGUUGGUGCUGCAAGUACCUCACCUACUCAUCCAAUGGCUUGCUCUCUCAGUACCUCCCCUGUUCAUCCAAUUGCAAGGACCAAUUCCGACCGGCCUCCUCUGCCAGAGAUGGGACAUAUGGCAUCAGAAAGAAGGAAGAGGGGGAAGGUCUCCCAUAAGAAAAAGGGAAACUCAAUUCCGGAGUACGUCAAUGUACCAGAAACUGUUUUUGCUCUUUCAGAGAAACCAGUAUGCACUCUUAAAGGUCACCAGGAUGAUGUCUUGGACCUGUCUUGGUCAAGAUCUCAGGUCAGUUUCCUGCACUUUCAUUUCAGUUAACUAAACAUGACACAAAUUUGUAGCAGGGAGAAAAUGAAACCACAGUAAUUUUGAUAACCCCCCCCCCCCCCCCCCCCCAAAUUCCAAUUUAUGUGAAAGUUUUUCCUUUUUAGUUAGUCCCAUUUAGUAACAAUUUAACCUUAAAACGCCCACUUUACCCUUAAUGAGAUAAUUUAUAGCCACACAAACUUUUAUGGCUCAUUUUAGACCACAAGUUUCAAAUACUACAUGUCUUUCUUAAACUUCGUGCCCAGUCAAAUACUAUUACAUGAAUUGGGACAGUGGGAGUAAUAUCUACUACUCCAUGCGUCCCAAUUUAUGUGACACUCUUUCCUUUUUAGUCAGUCUCAAAAGGAAUAACAUCUAAUUUAACUUUAUAAUGCAUACUCUAUCCUUAAUGAGAUGAUUUAUAGCUACAUAAAUAUCUAUGACUUAUUUUAAACCACAAAUUCCGAAAGUCUUUCUUUCUUUAUUAAACUCCAUGCCCAUUCAAACACCGUAAUAUAAAUUGGGAUGGAGGCAAUAUCACUUAUUAAAGCAUACAUACUAACAUGCACUAUCAAACUUGGAUGCAGCUACUUCUUUCAUCUUCGAUAGACAAGACUGUUCGGCUAUGGGAUAUUGAAACUCAAAGUUGCUUAAAAAUGUUCGCGCAUAAUGACUAUGGUGAGAUGCCAAAUUACAUUGUAGCUAGUUAAUAGAAGACUUUAAAUGAUGAUUUCUUCCCAUCACUUGCAUCUAUUGAGUUUAUGGUUUGGCAGUUACUUGCAUACAGGUCAAUCCAAUGGAUGAUGACUACUUCAUCAGCGGUUCUCUAGACGCAAAGGUUCGGAUUUGGAAUAUACCUGAUCGGAAAGUUGUAGAUUGGACUGAUCUUCAUGAAAUGGUCACUGCUACUUGCUUCACCCCAGAUGGCCAGGUAGUACUGGUAAUUGUAUUGGAGCAUUCACAAUUAACUUCUCGCGAAACUAAAACCGACUUCAAGAAUGUAGCAUAGUUCUUCAAUAUAAAAUGAAUUUCUGUUGUUGCAUGUUUCUCCUUCUUGAGUAAUUGUGUCAUUAAAGAACAUCAUCAAGCCAAACCACAUACAGAUAUCCCUCUCCCCCCCCCCCCCCCCAAAACACACACACGCAACUAUGGCGGUGGGAAAUUAGGAGACAAAGAAAAAGAGCUAUUCCCCCACCCCCACCCCCCACACACACAAAAAAAGGCAAGAGCACAAGGUAUGAUCUUGAGUAUUUUUAUGAUUCUCAAGGGAAAAUGUGAAACAGUAUCACUGAUAUUCCCUUUUUCCUUUCAUGAAGGGUGCUUUAAUAGGCUCACAUAAAGGCAGCUGUCGUGUGUACACUACCUCCGGUAAGUAAUGCAUCACUUAUCAUCUUUUAUUGAUGUGAUAAUUUCCAGAGGAAUGCAGCUGCUGACUUCCAAUGUGUGUUUAUUCCUCAGAAUGCAAACUGGAACAAAAAGACAACAUCGACAUUCAGCCUAAGAAAAAUUCUCAACUCAAGAAGGUCACUGGUUUACAGGUAUUUCUCUUUUCUAGAGUUACUACUGUCUAAGUAUACAGUCUUCUUUUCCUCAACACCUAUGAAAGCUGAACUUGUUUAUUUCCAGUUUGCCCCAUGGAACCCAGCAGAAGUGCUUAUAACUUCAGCUGAUUCUCGUAUCAGAAUUUUUGACGGGUCAGAGAUGAUCUAUAAGUUUAGAGGUAUUUUCUCUCUGAUAUACUCUUUUGGAGAGUUCAAACAACAUCCUUGUGUUCUCUAAACCAAGGUUCUAUUCUGUGGUAGCAUCAGGUUUCCGAAAUACAAGCAGCCAAAUUGCAGCUUCGUUCAGUUCAGAUGGGAAGUAUGUCAUAAGUGCAAGUGAAGACUCUCAUGUCUACAUCUGGAAGAGAGAAGAACCUAAGACCCCCACCGGUAAACGUAGAACUUCAGUCUCUGUUCAAGCUCACGAGCGCUUUCAAUGCAAAGAUGUUUCAGUUGCCAUCCCAUGGCCAGGUAGUGUAAAGAAUGAACCACCACUUGUAGAGAUGCACUCAAAAAGGCAUUCAAAACGCUUCCUCCCGCCCCCAUAUCCCACUGUUGGCUCUCCUACAAAAGAAAACCCUGAUGUGGCAAAUAGUAAAAGACAUUUGCCACCUCUACCCAUAAAAGUUAAUGCAUCGGAGAGAGUCCAAAGUAGCCAGGAAGAGGAAGACUUAGCUCAACUUUCUCGGACAGAUUCUGGUAUUGGUCCCAGUGAAUCAUUUGUAUCAGGUUCUUCAUCAACUAGGUUUGGUGAUUCACCUUCUAUAUCUGCAUCCAGCAGCUCACGCUCACACUCUUGGUCCUCCUCCUGGUCUCAAGAUGGUAGUAACAGCAAUGGCAGCAACGUUGUCCAAGCAACAGCAUGGGGCAUGGUAAUUGUGACAGCAAGUUUGGGAGGUGAGAUCAGGGUGUAUCAAAAUUUUGGGCUACCUCUGAAAGCUGGUCGUCAGACCAAUCUCUUUAGAGAUCUGACAUAAAUUGUUGUUGAGGGAACAAAGUGAGACCUAUAUUCUGUUCUUGAGCUUGAAAUUUUUCUAUAAUACUUAGAUGUUUAAGACCUAGUCGAGCUCAAGUUACACUGAACAAGGCAGAAGCGAUUGGCUUCACAAUGUUGAUAAGUAAAUGGGGAAACGGGUAAUUUUUUCCUUUUAGUACCUUUUACAUUAGAAAGACCAAGCAGAGAUCACAGUGUUCAAUGUUCCAAACAAUUGAACAUUUUAACUUGCAAUGUACAAUAGCAUGCAUUUUAACUAGCAUUUGCAAAACUUUGUUUUUUUUAACAAGUGUCUCACAGGUUAGCCGUUUCAAGUCACAGAUACAAGAGAAAAUUCAUUGGCACAUUUACUUAUUUUGGGAACAGAUCAAUCAACAAUCAACCAACUAUACCUCAAUCCCGUAUUAGUUGGGGUCCGCAAUAUGAAUCUUUAGACUAUUUUUAGCUGGUCCUUGAUCAACUACACCAUCAUCCUUUAUCGGCUAGGGACUAAAUAUACUUUGUGAAACUCACGUAUGACAUAACAGAUUUAAAAAGAAUCUUAUAGCAUCGCCUGGAAAGGAUGAUACUAAGCUAUCCUUCGGUUUUUUAUCAAAACACAAGACAAUGCCCUUAUGAAAUCCAAGGUUAAACUGUUUGAAGAAUGAAGAAAGGAAUUCUUCUGGGAUGUGCGUUUAGGUUAUUAGCAAAAGCAUACUUUUAUUUAUUUAAUUAUAUCUCAGCACGCCCUUCACGUGUUGGCCCGAUUCUUUUUAAUGGGACAAACACAUGGAAAUUCGAAAUGAUAAUGGAUGUUGAUAAGACUUAAACCACGGAUCUCUGCCUACUCUGUGUGACCAUUUUAUCUAAAAAUUUAAGAUGUUGAAAAGAACAAGGUUUUAUUUGCUUAAUUAUGUCUCAACAAAGACGACAACCAUUUACCUUUUUAUAAAUAUAAAAAAAUGGAGACCAUUUACCUAAAGCAACAUAACUAGAGAUGUUCAGUGAUAACUGAAUCGAGGAUAAUUUUCUAACGAUAAUUGAAGCAAAGAUUAUCCGAUAAAACAAGCAGACGUGAAGAAACAUAAAUGAAAAUACUCAUCAAAAUAUGUAGAAGCUAGUGCAAUAACACAGAAAUUAGCUGCGCAAAGAAAAGGGCUUUACCCAUUUUACAGACUGAUUGGUUCUCUUAACUGUCCGCUAAUAUUGCUUCUGUUGUCGCCCCCAAAAUUAAAAUGAAUCGUGCAAUGGCUUCACUAUGGAAGAGUAGCGAUGGACAGUGAAUACAGAUUCUUGAAUACAGAUUCAAGAGGAGAAAUUUCAACAACUAUCUCUAUUUCAAAUAGGUUUUUUUCUUCUUUAUGUUAAUCUCAAAUAGUUGUAGGCAGUAUAUCAUCUUAUAUCUAUUCAGACAUAAUUUGAUUGAAGUUAACAAAAAAUAUUUGGUGUUACGUUGAGAAAGAAUAUUUGGAAAAAUUAAGUUGAAGACUUGUGAGAGAAAAUUAUUCUCUCCCUCACACACACAC